rnacentral:rRNA from 1 species
UACGGGGGGGGCAAGCGUUGUUCGGAAUUACUGGGCGUAAAGGGCUCGUAGGCGGCCAACUAAGUCGGAUGUGAAAUCCCCAGGCUUAACCUGGGAACUGCGUUUCUAACUGGCAGGCUUGAGUGUGGCAGAGGGGGGUGGAAUUCCACGUGUAGCAGUGAAAUGCGUAGAGAUGUGGAGGAACACCGAUGGCGAAGGCAGCCCCCUGGGCUAACACUGACGCUCAUGCACGAAAGCGUGGGGAGCAAACAGG